rnacentral:rRNA from 1 species
UCAGGAUGAACGCUGGCGGCGUGCUUAACACAUGCAAGUCGAACGGAGUUACAUGAAACCUAGUGAUUGUAAACUUAGUGGCGGACGGGUGAGUAACGCGUGGGUAACCUGCCUUAUACCGGGGGACAGCAGUUAGAAAUGACUGCUAAUACCGCAUAAGCGCACGGUGUCGCAUGGACACAGUGUGAAAAACUCCGGUGGUAUAAGAUGGACCCGCGUCUGAUUAGCCAGUUGGUGAGGUAACGGCCCACCAAAGCAACGAUCAGUAGCCGGCCUGAGAGGGUGAACGGCCACAUUGGGACUGAGACACGGCCCAAACUCCUACGGGAGGCAGCAGUGGGGAAUAUUGGACAAUGGGGGAAACCCUGAUCCAGCCGACGCCGCGUGAGUGAAGAAGUAUUUCGGUAUGUAAAGCUCUAUCAGCAAGGAAGAUAAUGACGGUACUUGACUAAGAAGCCCCGGCUAACUACGUGCCAGCCGCUGC